GUAUACAAAGUGACAAUUAGAAAAAUAUCAAUUACAAAGUGAUUUAUUGUUUAUUAUUAUUAUUAUUAUAUUUAGUGUGUAUUUUAUAAUAUAUAUAUUUUUUAUAAGUGUUUUUGCUGAAAAGCAAGAUAAAGAAGAAUGCCGAAAUCAUGUGUAUGUAGAUGCGCAGGAGCUGAAUCCUUCUACAAAUUCCCAUCGGAACGAGAAUUAGCAAGGCAGCCUUUCCACCAAUACAAACUACCCAAGUGAAGUGGUUAUGUUUUUUUUCGGGAUGGCCUACGGAAUACAGUUUUAGUUAAGAACUUUUUUUAAGUAUAAUGAAAACUGUAUUAGUUUUAAUUAGGUUAAAGAACAAGUGGCUAACAAAAUUUUUUUUACGAAAAUGUUUAAUUAUAAAUAUAAUUCUUUAAGUAAAUAUUAUAUUAACUUAUAAGAGCGUAGUUAUACAAAAUAUGACCACAUGUUACUUUUAAAUUAUCAAUACCAUAAAUAGUAUUAAUUACUUAAGGUAAU